rnacentral:snRNA from 1 species
GAGUGAUUUCAGCUCUUCCGGUAUUUGUCUAGCAGGUUUUUCACUUCCCCAGGCAGCCUUA